rnacentral:rRNA from 1 species
GACGAACGCUGGCGGCGUGCUUAACACAUGCAAGUCGAACGGUAAGGCCCUUCGGGGUACACGAGUGGCGAACGGGUGAGUAACACGUGGGUGAUCUGCCCUGCACUUUGGGAUAAGCCUGGGAAACCGGGUCUAAUACCGAAUAUUCCUUGCUGGUCGCAUGGCCUGGUGGGGGAAAGCUUUUGCGGUGUGGGAUGGGCCCGCGGCCUAUGAGCUUGUUGGUGGGGUGAUGGCCUACCAAGGCGCCGACGGGUAGCCGGCCUGAGAGGGUGUCCGGCCACACUGGGACUGAGAUACGGCCCAGACUCCUACGGGAGGCAGCAGUGGGGAAUAUUGCACAAUGGGCGCAAGCCUGAUGCAGCGACGCCGCGUGAGGGAUGACGGCCUUCGGGUUGUAAACCUCUUUCAAUAGGGACGAAGCGCAAGUGACGGUACCUAGAGAAGAAGCACCGGCCAACUACGUGCCAGCCGCCGCCGUAA